rnacentral:rRNA from 1 species
UACGGGGGGGGCAAGCGUUGUUCGGAAUUACUGGGCGUAAAGGGCUCGUAGGCGGCCAACUAAGUCAGACGUGAAAUCCCUCGGCUCAACUGGGGAACUGCGUCUGAUACUGGAUGGCUUGAGUGUGGGAGAGGGAUGCGGAAUUCCAGGUGUAGCGGUGAAAUGCGUAGAUAUCUGGAGGAACACCGGUGGCGAAGGCGGCAUCCUGGACCACGACUGACGCUGAGGAGCGAAAGCCAGGGGAACAAACGGG